GUAUGGAAACGUACGCUAAUACCGCAUGCGCCCUUCGGGGGAAAGUCGGGGACCGCAAGGCCUGACGCGAUUGGAUGAGCCCAUGUUCGAUUAGCUAGUUGGCGGGGUAACGGCCCACCAAGGCGACGAUCGAUAGCUGGGUCUGAGAGGAUGAUCAGCCACACUGGAACUGAGACACGGUCCAGACUCCUACGGGAGGCAGCAGUAGGGAAUAUUGGACAAUGGGCGCAAGCCUGAUCCAGCCAUUGCCGCGUGAGUGAAGAAGGCCCUCGGGUUGUAAAGCUCUUUUGUUGGGGAAGAAAAGCAGUUGGUUAAUACCCGAUUGUUCUGACGGUACCCAAAGAAUAAGCACCGGCUAACUUCGUG
rnacentral:rRNA from 1 species